CACAGCGUCGUAUGUCCUGACGGAGAUGCGAUUCCUCCAUCGGCUCAACCUUACAAUUCAAUCCCGCCGCCCGCACUUGGAGUUCUUAUUAGCAAAACAAAAACAGCCGAAUACUUUGUGCCCCCGAACCCGACAGGUCAUCGGAGCCGAUCGAAAUAGGUGAAGAGAAUUUUGCACUUACCCUUUGGCGUCGGCGUCGCAGACUGCUCCUGGAGGCGAAGUAGCACACUCACUCACACACUGCUUGACGUUACACACACCACUGCACCGGACACUGACGCGGCGCGAGUAUCUUCGCUCGGUUUUGGGGCUCGGUGUCUCCGGGCUGGCUCAAAUUCGCAUCGCGCUCGCGUCGCGUUGCGCGUACCAAGACAAUACAAGUCUGCAGCGUAUUCAGAAGGCUUGCAGCGUUCGGAUAGCAAUUGCAUAAGAUUGGAUGGUGCAUAUAUUCAUGGAUAUCGGACGAUUUAUUUUUUCUAGAGAGCGGACCGAUCCAUACGACGGGACGCCAUUUUCAUUCUGGCUGCGGCUCGCGCUGCAGUUACGUACGUCGUGAUCGGAAUGACUCGUAUAUCGUCGCUUGGCUUUACGCGAUUGCAUCGCCCCCUAUAAAUCUCUAAUUGAACUUCAUCGUUAUACCUCUAAAACUAUUUCUUAUCUAAUAAGAAUUUAUUAUCUUCAAACAAUUUCACUGCUGUAAAAGACUUUGAAAAUAUUAGUAAAUACAUAUUACACAUAUUUACAAAGUUAUAAAGAGGAUAAAAUUUAAAUUACCAAAUCAAGUUGCUUGUGUCAAAACAAAGUUUUCUACAAAACCGAAAACAAACGCAAUGCAAGCAAAACCUCACAAUAAUUUUCAAAAUUCUCCGUCACCACGCCGAUUUUGUUGUCGUCUGCGUCAAUAAAUCAAUAUCAAAAUUAUCAGUAUUUAUUGCAUCUGUUAGAGUUGUUAAUAUAGCUGUAUAAGUGUUAUAUAAUCCAUAUCAAUUAACCAUUUGUCGCUGCAAUGUUGGAACCAUGUCUGAAAACGCGACCAUUCGCGCACGCUAAUGAACGCCCAUAUCGAGUGCAGUAUAUUUACGACCACUACGAUCGAUACCACAAUUUCUACAAUGGCUACAACACCGAUUGCCAAAUGAUACGACGCGUCUGCUGUAAUCCCAUUCAAGCUACAGGCAUAUGCAACUGCAAAUGUUGCAUAUAUUGUGGCGGUAAUAAUUAAUCGAUGUUGAUUCAUGCGAUAUGUGCGGAAUAAACGAUUGAAAACUU